rnacentral:lncRNA from 1 species
CUGCCACGAUUCUUCCUGUGCUCCAUAGGAGGACCCAUUGGACCCCCGGGCUGGCUGCAGGGCCCACACCUGGGUUAGACCUCGCACAGGGACGCUGCUGCCACUGUAAUAAAGCGUGCCUACACGCUUCUGAAACUGGUGUAGGAACAACCUCAGUUCUGUGAAAGGCGGACGCAGCAGGACAGAAUCUCCGUGGACAUCUGUCUGGAGGAGCAAUUUUACUGCGACAUUUUAAAGAAACAAAUUUAAUUGAUUUCCAAGGGUGUCCAUCGCGCUUCCUUCACUGCCUUGAUCAUGUCGGGGUCACCACCUGCGGGGGUUUGUCCUGCAGACCCUGACUCAACGACGGAUGAAUAAUGUACACUGACACAGAUCUUAUGCUUGUCAGUCCUGCUGAGCAUCCAGGCCACUUACAGACUCCAAGAAGAGUCCUGUCAGCCACGGCUCUGACUUGUUGGCCCUCCCGGCAUUUAUUUAGCACACAUUUAAUGACAGAAGUCUCAGGCUGGAAACACUCUUUUUGUAGAACAUACAAAUGGACAUUUCUAAGCACAUUGAGGCCUAUAAUGAAAAAUCAAAUAUCCCACAAUGAAAACUAGAAGGAAGCUAUCUGUGAUAAUGCUUUGUGGUGUAUGGAUUCAUCUCACUGACUGAAACCUGAGUUUUGAUUCACCAGGUAAGAAACACUUUUUUUUUUAAUAGAAUCUACAAAGGGACAUUUCUGAGCAAAUUGAGGCUAAGAGUAAAAAAUCAAAUAUCACACGAUAAAAACUAGUAACAAGCUAUCUGUGAAAAUGCUUUUCAAUGUUUGAAUUCAUUUCACAGAGUUAAACCUUUGUUUUGAUUGAACAGGUUGGAGACACUCUUUUUAUAGGAUCUACCAAGAGACAUUUCUGACCUCAUUGAGGCCAAUAGUAAAAAAUCAAAUGUCUCAUGAUAAAAAGUAAAAAGAUGCUAUCUGUGAAAAUGCUUUCUGGAGUGGAGAUUUAUCUCAGUGAAUUGAAUCUGUGUUUUGAUUCACCAGGUUGGAAACCUUCUUUUUGUAAAACCUACAGUGGGACAUUUCUGAGCUCAUUGAGGCUUGUAGUGAAAAACUGAGUUUCCUGCAAUAAAAACCGAAAACAGGUUAUCUGUGAAAGUGAUUUGUGAUGUGCAAAUUCAUCUCAUGAAAAUAAACCUCUGCUUUGAUUGAAUAAAUGGGAAGAACUUUUUUGUAGAAAUUUCUGAGCUCCUUUAGGUCUAUAGCAAAAAAAUCUAAUAUCCUGCAAACAAAACUAGAAACAAGCUACAUGUGAAGGUGCUUUCUGAUGUGUGAAUUCAUCUCACCAAAUGAAACUCGUGUUUUGAUUUAGUAGGUUGAAAACAAUCUUUUUGAAGAAUAUACGAAGGGACAUUACUGAGCUUAUUGAGGCUUAUAUUGAAAAACUGAAUAUCCCACAAAAUAAACUAGAAACAAGUGAUCUGUGAAAAUAGUUGGCCAUGUGUAAAUUUAUCUCACACAGUUAAACCCUUUUUUUGACUCAACAAAUUAGAACUCUUUUUGUAGAAUCUAUGAAGGGACAUUUCUGAGCUCAUUGAGGCCUAUCGUGAAAAACUGAAUAUCCCAUGAUGAAAACUAGAAAGAAGCUAUCUGUGAAAAUAUUUAGCAAUGUGUUCUUUCAUCUCACAGAGUUAAAUCUUUUUUUUUUUUUAUUCACCAUAUUGGAAAUACUCUUUUUGUAGAAUCUACAAAGAAACAUUUCUGAGCCCAUUGAAGCCUAUAGUAAAAAAACAAAUAUUCUGCAGUUGAAACUAGAAACAAUCUCUUUGAAAAUGCCUUGUGAUGUGUGGAUGCAUCUCAUUAAAAGGAGCCUGUGUUUUGGUUCACCAGAUUGGAAACACUUUUUUGUAGAAUAUACGAUGGGAUGUAUCUGAGCCCAUUGAGGCCUAUAGUAAAAAAUGGAAUAUCUUGCAAUAAAAAACUAGAAACGAGCUAUCUUUGAAUAUGCUUUCUGAUGUGUGGAUUCAUCUCACAGAGUUAAACCUUAUUUUUGACUCACCAAGAUGGAAAUACUUUUUUUUGUAGAAUCUAUGAUAAGACAUUUCUGAGUCUAUUGAUGUGUAUAGUGCCAAACAGAAUAUCCCACAAUAAAAACUAGAAACAAGCUAUCUGGGAAAAUGCCUUGUGAUGUUUUCAUUCAUCUUAGAGAGUUAAACCAUUGUUGUAAUUAAACAGGUUGGAAACACUCUCUUUGUAGAAACUACGAAUUGACAUUUCUGAGCCCUUUGAGGCCUACAGUGAAAAACAGAAUAUCCAGUGAUUAAAACUAAAAACUUUCUGUCUGUGAAAAUGCUUUGUGAUGUGUGGAAGCAUCUCAUAGAGUUAAACCUUUGUUUUGGUUCAACAGGUUGGAAACACUUUUUUAGUAGAAUCUAUGAGAAAAUCUUUGUGAACCCAAUGAGGACUCUGUGUGUGUGUUUGUGUGUGGGGGGGGUGGGGGGGCAGGAAACAACGAGGAUUUCAUGAUGGAAACUGGAAAGAACCAUCUGUGAAAAUGGUUUGUGAUGUGUGGAUUCACCUCACAGAAUUAAACCUUUGGUUUGAUAGAACAGAUUGAAAACACUGUUUUUGUACAAUCUAAAAAGAGACAUUUCUGAGCCCAUUGAAGCCUGACGUGAAAAACCAAGGGUCUCACAAUAAAAACGAAUUACAAGCUAUCUGUGAAAAUGCUUAGCAAUGUCCGGAUUCAUCUCACUGAAUAGACCCUGUGUUUUGAUUCACCAGGUUGGAAACUCUUUCUGCAGAAUCUGCAAAGAAAUAUUUCUGAGCCCAUUGAGGCCUACAGUGGAAAACUGAAUAUUCUGUGAUAAAACUAGAAACACCCUAUCUGUGAAAAUGCUUUGUGAUGUGUGGAUUUUUCUCAUCGAAUGGAACCUCUGUUUUGACUCACAAGGGUGAAACACUAUUUUAGUAGAAUCUAGGAAGAAACAUAUCUGAGCCCAUUUAUGCCUACAGUGAGAAACUGAAUACCCUGCAAUAAAAAGUAGACAGAAGCUAUUUGUAAAAAUGCUUUGUGAUGUGUGGAUUCAGUGUUAAACUUUUAUUUUGAUUCCACAGUUUUGACACCCUAUUUGUAGAAUAUAUGAAUGAACAUUUCUCAGCCCAUUGAGGCCUAUCAU